GCAGCUACCAUGCAGUCGAGCGGAACGAGUUAUCUGAACCUUCGGGGAACGAUAACGGCGUCGAGCGGCGGACGGGUGAGUAAUGCCUAGGAAAUUGCCCUGAUGUGGGGGAUAACCAUUGGAAACGAUGGCUAAUACCGCAUGAUGCCUACGGGCCAAAGAGGGGGACCUUCGGGCCUCUCGCGUCAGGAUAUGCCUAGGUGGGAUUAGCUAGUUGGUGAGGUAAGGGCUCACCAAGGCGACGAUCCCUAGCUGGUCUGAGAGGAUGAUCAGCCACACUGGAACUGAGACACGGUCCAGACUCCUACGGGAGGCAGCAGUGGGGAAUAUUGCACAAUGGGCGCAAGCCUGAUGCAGCCAUGCCGCGUGUGUGAAGAAGGCCUUCGGGUUGUAAAGCACUUUCAGUCGUGAGGAAGGUAGUGUAGUUAAUAGCUGCAUUAUUUGACGUUAGCGACAGAAGAAGCACCGGCUAACUCCGUGCCAGCAGCCGCGGUAAUACGGAGGGUGCGAGCGUUAAUCGGAAUUACUGGGCGUAAAGCGCAUGCAGGUGGUUUGUUAAGUCAGAUGUGAAAGCCCGGGGCUCAACCUCGGAAUUGCAUUUGAAACUGGCAGACUAGAGUACUGUAGAGGGGGGUAGAAUUUCAGGUGUAGCGGUGAAAUGCGUAGAGAUCUGAAGGAAUACCGGUGGGCGAGCGCCCCUGGACAGAUACUGACGCUCAGUGCGAAAGCGUGGGGGAGCAAACAGGAUAGAAU
rnacentral:rRNA from 1 species